CGGGUGGGAUAAUGUAUAGUUGUAUUGAUUUAGCUUACCGACCUUGCCACGUUCAUGUUUUCAUUUCCUUUUGUUCAUGAUGAUUGUUUUUUUUUGUGCAGACCUAGAUUGUAGGAUUGCAUGAGUUGGGGCUUGCGAUUUCCCAUUGUGGUGCACAGGUAGAUUGUAUGAUGUACUUGCCGAAAUGAGCAUGGUCGCCAUGCUAAUUGUUCAAAUAUUCUAUGGCUAUUUCAGUGCUUAUCUCAGUUACUUGAUUUCUUUUGUAGUACUGCCAGGGGUGGCUGUUUGUUUACUGCAGGGGGUGUUGAUCUGAUGCCCCAUUAUUUGAUUACAUGUUUGAUGCUCUCCAAAAAAUGCUACAAAUAAUCAUAAGAAACUUCUCGCGAUAGAUUUACAAUUAGGGAUAUUUCCAAAUGUUUACUUCUAAUUCAUUAGCACAUCCUCUGUUUUUUUAAUUAAUUGUUGCCUCCUGCUUUUUGUUUAUCUUAGCCUUCUGGUGCUUUUGGUGUAUGGGCAAAACAGGUCAGAGUACAAAGUGGUGAAUUGCAUUUCACAUGCCAAGAUAAACAAAGAAUAAAAAAAGAAAACAUGGUAUUCUCUAACACAAGAGCAUGAUACCUUGGGUCCAUUGGUGCAGACCAAGAGAUAAGAACUACUUAUGCUGCAAUAGUUUCAGUGGAAGUAUAGUCAGGUGUUUAAUUGUUUUUUUUUACAGUUUUAGCUAAUUGGCUGGGUAUCCACUUUAUCUUUUGUGCUUGCACAUAUAAUCGAUUCUCUGGUCCUACUCGCAUGUUCUCUAAUUAUCUUGGAGUGCUGGCAAGUAAUUAGAACAUAUCUUGGUCCAUACUUGCAUUAGAAUAUGCCACAUAGAAGGAUGUGGCAUAUCUUGGAAUAAGAAUGGCCACACGAGCAUUCUGUCAUGAUAUUGUAAUGAGUGGUCGAUACUUGUGGCAGUGCUGCAAUGGUGCUAUGAUGCAUGUUUGCACAAGAUGCCUGUAAAUUAUUGAUCUUCGUCGUGCUUCCUGCUUACUAUUAGUUCAAUUGAGCCCAAUCUUUCUGGUCGUAUUGCUACAUGCUUAUGAUUAAUUUCUAUAUUUCUUGGUUGUUGUAUUGUAGGACAGGGAGGCAGAAGAGAGGGCAUGCCGGGGAAUGAAGGAGAACAAACGUAAGUAGUACUUGCCACUAUUCAGAUUUCUUUGUUGUUGCAUUACAGGAUUGUAGGGUGUUUAGAUUUUAAAUGCUGGCAUUGAUCGAGGUGUUAACUGGUUUUUAGUUCUGAUUAGAUGUGAAUCAGGUUUUAGUUAUGAUGAGAUGCAGAAAUUGUUGAGAGAGGGCAUGAAUGGUCUAUAUUUUAACCGUGCUUUUAUUCCCUUUUGCCCUUUCCAAAGGGACUGCUCUACCUUUUGUUGACAACAAUAUAUUUAUUAAGCUAGGAGGCUGCACCGGUCAUGAAUUUAAAUAGGCUUGCUACCACUUUAUUUUGGUCAACAUUUUUGGCCCUGAACAUGUUAUGUUUUGAUUUAUGAGGUUAAAGCAUACUACUGCUUGCAUAAAUAGCAACAUGUUGAAAGUAUUGUUGGGUCACUUUUAGGCUUCUAGCUAUUUUGAUUUUAUCAUAUACAACACUUUCAGACCAGUAAAUACAAUGACCUCCCUUUUACAUUAAAUAAUCGCGAUUGUUCUCAUACCAUUUGGCAUUUGCAGAGUGUCUCACGCACACAAGCUAAAGGUUCACCAAGUUUAGGGAAAGAAAAGUUUCCCUAGACAGGUGGCGGCGG
rnacentral:lncRNA from 1 species